AUUGAACGCUGGCGGCAGGCCUAACACAUGCAAGUCGAACGGUAGCACAGAGAGCUUGCUCUCGGGUGACGAGUGGCGGACGGGUGAGUAAUGUCUGGGAAACUGCCCGAUGGAGGGGGAUAACUACUGGAAACGGUAGCUAAUACCGCAUAACGUCGCAAGACCAAAGUGGGGGACCUUCGGGCCUCACACCAUCUGAUGUGCCCAGAUGGGAUUAGCUAGGAGGUGGGGUAAUGGCUCACCUAGGCGACGAUCCCUAGCUGGUCUGAGAGGAUGACCAGCCACACUGGAACUGAGACACGGUCCAGACUCCUACGGGAGGCAGCAGUGGGGAAUAUUGCACAAUGGGCGCAAGCCUGAUGCAGCCAUGCCGCGUGUAUGAAGAAGGCCUUCGGGUUGUAAAGUACUUUCAGCGGGGAGGAAGGCGGUGAAGUUAAUAACUUCACCGAUUGACGUUACCCGCAGAAGAAGCACCGGCUAACUCCGUGCCAGCAGCCGCAGUAAAAC
rnacentral:rRNA from 1 species